CCAUUUGGAUCGUUGAUCCAGUGCAUGGGAGGCUGGAAGUGAUAGCCAGUUCUGUGUACUCGAUUCACCUUAACAGCUUUGAGGUUCUGAUACUGAGGGUAAAUCCUGUGAGAUCCCUCUACUCCAUUUUUGAAGAAAACCAAGAGAAAAGCGAUUACUGCAAGAAACUUCGUCCCAGCCAUGAGCGCAAGAGGGAUGAAACUACCAACAACAAAAAGGAAAAGAGAACAACCCUAAUCUUUAUUUUUCUAAACUUGUUUGAUCUGCUGGGAUAAUGAGAGAGGUAGGAAUGAGAUUUUGGGGAAGGAGGAGGAUGUAUUUAUAAUGGCAGUGUGUGGGAGAUUGA
rnacentral:misc_RNA from 1 species